rnacentral:rRNA from 1 species
CAGUCGCCGCGGUAAUACGUAGGUCCUGAGCGUUGUCCGGAUUUAUUGGGCGUAAAGCGAGCGCAGGCGGUUUAAUAAGUCUGAUGUGAAAGCCCACGGCUCAACCGUGGAGGGUCAUUGGAAACUGUUAAACUUGAGUGCAGGAGAGAAAAGUGGAAUUCCUAGCGUAGCGGUGAAAUGCGUAGAGAUUAGGAGGAACACCAGUGGCGAAGGCGGCUUUUUGGCCUGUAACUGACACUGAGGCGCGAAAGCGUGGGGAGCAAACAGGAUUAGAUACCCCAGUAGUCCCUGUCUCUUAUAC